rnacentral:rRNA from 1 species
AGGGCACCACCAGAAGUGGAGCCUGCGGCUUAAUUUGACUCAACACGGGAAAACUCACCCGGCCCGGACACUGGAAGGAUUGACAGAUUGAGAGCUCUUUCUUGAUUCAGUGGGUGGUGGUGCAUGGCCGUUCUUAGUUGGUGGAGUGAUUUGUCUGGUUAAUUCCGAUAACGAACGAGACCUUAGCCUACUAAAUAUGCGGCCGACUUUACAAACGCUUGAUCUCACUCUCUAAAGGGGACAGGCGGUGAUUCACCCGCACGAAAGAGGUAAUACAGGGUGUGAUAUGCCCUUAGAUGCCGGCCGCGCGCGCGCGCUACUGUGAUGUGAUCAGCGUGUUGUGCUACUGCUCCUCUGGGAGGAGGAAACCCCCAAGCAUCUUCAUGGUGAGGGUAAGAGAAUAUAGUGAUUCUCCUCGAAGAACGAAUAUUUCGCAGUAAGAGGGAGUCCCCUGUGUCGGCGAUGACGACGCCCGCUCCUCCGUUCACCCCGCCCCCCGCUGCUACUACUGAGAGGGAU